rfam:Picea glauca, whole genome shotgun sequence.
GGGAAUCUGACUAUUUAAUUAAAACAAAGAAUUAUGAUGGUCCCUGUGGAUGUUGACGCAAUGUGAUUUCUGCCCAGUGCUCUGAAUGUUAAAGUGAAUAAAUUCAACCAAGCACGGGUAAACAGCGGGAGUAACUAUGACUCUCUUAAGGUAUCCAAAUGCCUCACCAUCUAAUUAGUGAUGCACAUGAAUGAAUUAACUAGAUUCCCACUAUCCCUAUCUACUAUCUAGCGAAGCCACAACCAAGGGAAUGGGUUUGGCAUAAUCAACAGAGAAAGAAGACCUUGUUGAGAUUGACUCUAGUCCAACUUUGUGAAAUGAAUUGAGAGUUGUAGAAUAAGUGGGAAUUGUUUUCGAAACAAAUGAAAUAACACUACUUUUAACAUUAUUUUACUUACAAUUUUGUGGGGCAAAGACGGGGCAGUUACCCUAUUUUUGGCCUUAAGUCAUGUUUCGAUGGGUCGAUCUGGGUGGAAGACAUUUCUAGGUGGGGAUUUUGGAUGGGGAAACACGUCUAUUAAAGGAUAACAUAAAAUAUAAUUUGUGUAGAUAGAACAUUUGUAUUUGGGAGAUCCUAGUGCACAACCACCCUUAUUACCUUUCCCUCCUAAUUUGUAGUUACAUCCAAUCAUUUCUAAAUUGAAUCUAGUUUCCUCACUUGCACAAUAUGGAUAGAUGUGUGAACCCUAUACAUUAUUAAAGAUUUCAAAACCCCUAUCCAUGAGCCUAUGGUUACAUACAAAUGGGAAAAAAAAGGUGGAUACAAAAAUGCCACCUAUUCCUCCUCACGGUCCUCCCUAGGAUCUUGUUGUAUCUCAUAAUGUUGCACACUCCAUUGAUAUCCAUGUUUUUAUCAAAUUUUUUGCUAGCCCUCCUCGUCAUGAAGAAGUUUUAUUUGCUACCCCUCUAUUUAGAUAUGGAA